GUCCACGCCGUAAACGAUGGGUGCUAGGUGUGGGGUGUCGACUCCCUCCGUGCCGAAGCUAACGCAUUAAGCACCCCGCCUGGGGAGUACGGCCGCAAGGCUAAAACUCAAAGGAAUUGACGGGGCCCGCACAAGCAGCGGAGCAUGUGGUUUAAUUCGACGCAACGCGAAGAACCUUACCAAGGCUUGACAUGCACUGGAAAAGCGUGGAAACACGUUCCCUCUUCGGAGUCAGUGCACAGGUGGUGCAUGGCUGUCGU
rnacentral:rRNA from 1 species